rnacentral:rRNA from 1 species
UACGUAGGGGGCGAGCGUUGUCCGGAUUUAUUGGGCGUAAAAGGCUUGUAGGUGGCCACGCCAAGUCGGAUGUGAAAUCCCCCGGCUUAACCUGGGAACUGCGUCUGAUACUGGAAGGCUUGAGUAUGGGAGAGGGAUGUAGAAUUCCAGGUGUAGCGGUGAAAUGCGUAGAUAUCUGGAGGAAUACCGGUGGCGAAGGCGGCAUCCUGGACCAUUACUGACGCUGAGGCGCGAAAGCUAGGGGAGCAAACGGGG